UAUCAUUAAAAACAUAAUACAUGCAUUAUUGAAGAAUACAUUUCAUUUUCUUUGAAAUUUGCAGUUCCUAUAUUGUCCGCUAGGGGCGCUGUGUUUGAGUCGGCUCUAUGCUUUACCUGCUUUUUCUGUUUACUUUGGCACCCUCUUCAGUGAAAUGUAUUUGUCAAAAAAGAGAAAAGUGGACACAGAGUGUCGGAUUUUUCAAGAAGGAUGGACCUCUUCCAAUACGUUCACGGAGGUGAAUGGGAACCCGUGUGCCUGGUGUGCAUGCAGCAAGUUUCGGUGCUUAAGGAAUACAAUAUUCGGCGCAACUAUGAAUCUCAGCUUGGUGAAAAAUACAACUUGCAUGGAGAACUGAGAAAACAGAAGGCUAGGACAAUGAAGACACGAUCCUUGAGGAACAAGACCAGGAGACUCAAUCAAGUGGCCCGCCAUGUGGCCUGGUGGUUCAGGAUGCCCCAGCAUGACUAAAAGACACCCAGGAGUGAACCAGCGAAAGUGGGAGACAAAUUGAGGAAAGGUCUGAAAAAGUCCAAAAUUGGUUAAAAAUCAUACCCAGAAUUGAGUUCCACAAGUCCUGCCAUGUGCCCUGGUGUUCCGGGGGUGCCCCAGCAUGACUAAAAGACACCCAGAAGUGAACCAGCGAAAGUGGGAGACAAAUUGAGGAAAAGUCUGAAAAAGUCCAAAAUUGGUUAAAAAUCAUACCCAGAAUGGAGUUCCACAAGCCCCGCCAUGUGCCCUGGUGGUCCGAGGGUGCCCCAGCAUGACCAAAAGACACCCAGGAGUGAACCAACGAAAGUGGGGGACAAAUUGGGGAAAAGUCGGAAAAAAAGUCCAAAAUUGGUUAAAAAUCAUACCCAAAAAGGAGUUCCACAAGUCCCGCAGCGAGCUGCAUGAGCCCUGGGACCCCCGGGAAUGAACAAAAAGCACCCAGGAGUGAACAAGACCAGGAGACUCAAUCAAAUCCAGAGAGCUCCUCUGAUUUAGAUCUAGCUCCCAGUGGCUAAAUGCAGCAAAACCAUGAAAAAGUAAGCACUUGUAUUGUAUGGAACCAGUCUGUGCUAAACAGUACAAAACUUGUGUUGUCUGAAUAUUUUAUUGUACCAAAAUGUUCAGUAUUCUUUCAAAUUCAAACAUAUUUUUAUGGUUAUAGUUUCCUGUAAUGUCAUUUAAAUUAAAUCUGCAUGACACAGGCGCUAUGUUUAUUAUAAAUCAUAGGUGAAGUAUAUGAGGACACAGAAAUGGCCUUUAAGAAACCAUAAUUUAUUUUUAGUUUUAAAUCUACAGUUAAGAUGCGAGUCUGCGAACGCUUUGAGUUUAAUCCUAGAUUAAGUAAAAAUGCAUACACCAAAAAAUGUACUCAGGUGCAGAGUGUUAUAGUUAUAUGAAUAUACAUAGCAGCUUGGAUGAGAUUAUUCAAAACUAUACAUAAUACAAUAAUUACAAAAAUUAUAAUACAUUUCUUUGUUUUAUUGGUUUGUGUAUUAAAUUAUCAAUAGAGAGGAGAGACAAUCAGCCAGGUCAAGAUCAGCAACUCCUGAGAUGGGUAACACAGAGCUCCUGCAUCCACGAUCUACUGAGGAUGUUGGCAGUCAUACUCCACAGUCAACAAGAAGGCAUGGAUCAGAAGAGGACUGUUUAAAGCCUGUGCCAAAUCAAGAUGCAGACCAGUUAAGUGAUGUCUCAGAUUCCCCUCUAAAUCCUACCAUUCAACAAUCUCUUGAGGACUCUGAAGUGAAGUUUGUACCAAUUGUUGGUGAUGAUUGUGAUAAUCAAGACACCACCCUUCCCUGAAAUCCACAUGACUUGAGCAAAAUGCAGGUACAAUGUAGCACUAACGUUUUACAGUCCAGUAAAAUUAUUAGUGCCAAUGUCAAUGAAUUCAAAGAGUUUUUCUUAUUCAUUCCGUCUAUAAAAUUAUAAAAUGUACAAAAACUGUAACGUUACCAUCCGAAAAUCUUUCACCCUAAGGUUAUGUUUUUAAAUUAUUUUUUUAUCCAAACAUUCCAAAACUCAUUUGCAAUUUAAUGCAUCGUAGUAUGAAAUAGCAAAUCUAAAACCACAACAUUAUCACCAUUUUUUCAUGCUAAUUGAUUGUCAAAAUAUUUGAUUAUUUUCUGCUCACUAAAGGAUUAAUCAAUCAAUAAUCACACCUAAUUACCUUUUUAAAAUAUCUUGCAGCAUUCUACAUUCAAUGAUGGUCCUGUAUCAUCAAAUUGUCUUCCAGCAUCACCAGAUCCAUUUGACAAAGAAAUCUUACUUUUGAAAUUAAGACGAGUAAACAUAGUUGAUGAUGUCCUUAAUGUCGUCAUGGAUCCAAAAGUACUGAAUGCUAGUCUACGAAUGGAGUUUACAAAUGAGAAAGCUAUGGACACUGAUGGUGUGUCAAGAAAGGCGUACUCCGCAUUCUGGGACCACUUCUUGGACCAGUGUGAGGGGGAAGAUAAACGAGUACCCAGACUACGACCAGACUUUUCUGAGAAGAAAUGGCAAGCUCUCGGAAGAGUGUGGUUGAAAGGAUACCUGGACCACAAAAUCCUACCAAUCAGACUGUAACCAGCCUUUGUUCUUGCCUGUUGUGAAGGAGUUAGCUCCGUGGAUGAAGAACUAUUGAUGAUGUCAUUUGCCAGAUUUCUUUCAGAGAAUGAGUGUGUGUCGCUUGAAAAAGCACUUAAGGGUACCAUUGAUGAAACUGUUGAGGAGGACUUACUUGAUAUCUCCUCCAGAAUGGUCUCACACUGCCUGCCCCCUAAAGACAAUUUAUGGGCUGCUAUUUUAACAAUGGCACACAAAGCUAUUCUUCAAGAGCCAAGGUUCAUAAUUGACUGUUUCCACUCCAGUGUUCAUAAUGCAAUGCCAACGCUCAUAACACAAGACAACAUAAUGGAGAUAUAUGAAUCUAAGAGGCCAACUAACAAGAAAGUGGCUCAGAUGAUGAAUCCAUCAUUUGAAAUCCUAAAUCCACAAGAGCAGACUGCUCUUAACCGCCUGCAACGGUAUGUGAGAAGCAUCGACCAAAGAAAAUUGGAGAUCUUCUCACGCUUCUGCACAGGAUCUAGUGUGCUCUGCAAAGACACAAUUGAAGUAACUUUUAACACAUUGUGUGGUUUAAGUCGCAGGCCUGUAGCACGCACAUGUGGAGCAGUUCUUGAGUUACCAUGCACUUACAGCACAUACCCUGAGUUUCGCAAAGAAUUUGAAAAUGUCUUGUCUGGCGACUGCUUCACAAUGGAUAUUGUGUAGUGAAUGCAAAGCACAUCCAUCAUAUUCACACUGAGGUUAUUCUGGAAUUUGUCUGAUGCCAAACUGUUUCUACAGAUUUCUAUUGAUUGUUAUUUUUGAAACAGAAACCGUUUACAUUUUUUAAAUUGUUUUAUUUUCUUAUUUUUUUCUGUAAAUUGUUAGUACAUUGAGAUUUAAUAUUUUUCCACAAGACAGUUUGAGUUCAAUAAUUUUGAUAGUCAGCAGGGUCUGUUCUCAUAGGUGAAUGUCCCUUUUUGUACAGUUAUUACAUUUUCAUGUGCAUCUUGCAUGCAAUUGUUAUUCUGAAUGAUGUUCAACAUUCAGCAUUUUGGUCAUUUAACAAAGAAAUUCCUGUUCAAAUCAAGUACAAUACAUUUCUAAUGGUUGUUCAGUUAUGUUCAUUUCUUCUUUCAUGUCCUGCCUUGUUUCUCUUUGUAGCCAGUGUGCAUGUAGGGACAUAUCAAUCCUAUUUGCACCUCAGUGUUUCUGCAAAAGGUUCUUAAUGUUUGUGGCAUAGCACUGUUCAAGUGUAGUACGUGUGGACAUGUUGUAGCCCUGAAUAACCUGAAUAAAAUCCAUCUUAAAUUAGA